rnacentral:lncRNA from 1 species
AUCCUUCCUCUUGGAGCCCUUCUGUGAGCCCAGGACAUAACACUUUGGGACCUGAGCUGAAACAAUGCCCAUCCCAUGAAUCCAAAGAAGCAGAUGAAAGCAGAGGACCUGUACGCACACUAAAGCUACAGUUUACUAUGAAGAAACUGCUCAGUCUCCCACAGUCAUAGAACCAUUGGAGUUUGGAGGGGACCUUCAAAGAUCUUCUAGUCCAACUCCUCUGCAAUGAACAGGGACACCUACAGCUUGAUCAGUUUGCUCAGAGUCCUGUCCAACCUGACCUUGAAUGUCUCCAAGGACAAAGCAUCCACCACUUCUCUGGGCAACAUCACUACCCUUACUGUAAAAACGUUUUUCUUAUAUCCAAUCCAAUGACAAAAUCAUUGACAAAGUAUCUUGCCGCUACAUGUGUAUAGGGACACAUAAAAUCUCAAGUAACAUAUGAAACAUUGUUUGUGGAAAAUAUAAUCAUCCAUCACCUAAAGGUCUACUUUUUGGCGCACUUAGAACCAACAACUCUUGCAUCUUACUCUAGUCAGCUUCAAUGCAUUUGCAGUUGCAGACACAUAAGACUGUGCCUCUGUCCUAGUAAAGAUCAAGAGUAAACAACAAUAAUAAGUGAUAACAAACCCUGGAAUCGCAGGCAUCAGCCGAGUGCAGCUUCUUUCUCCCAGCCAGGAGUCUGUUCAUGUGUGUUCAAGGCCAGCUCUGAUACAGUGCAACAGUGAACAAACUUGUAUGAGAAAGAAUUAUGAGCAGUCAUAGAAUCAUAAAAUCAUAGGCAUCAUCAUAGUCAUCUAGGGUCUGGGAGCUGCUUUUAGGCACAGGUUCCUACCACUGGUCCCUUAAGCCAUGUUGCAUUUAUAGCUGCACACAGAUGUCUAUCUUGAUUACUUGAGUUAGAUUUGUACUCCACUGUGUUUCUCUACAUUAUCUUCCUGGGUUUUGGCUACCAUGAUGAAAUAAGUCUUUGCAAAAAAGUUCAUCUCACAAAGGAACCCCUACUGGGAAUUUCCUUCCCAGUGCAGUUCUUUAGGAAGUCUAGUUUUUCAGUGAACGGAGUUUGGGUACAUGGACAUCUACUGGAGUUACAAUAUCAUGUAAUGGAUGCAGUUCAGUGUCACUUGGGCAUAAAAUUUACAACUUUGUACGAUCAGAUAAGGAUUCAUUUUUACAGGAGGCCUCUUUUUAUGCUAUUUUUGACUGUGAAAUUAAGUUAUAAAAUAGAAUCAGAACUCCAUCUUAUUAGAAGCUAUACAGCAUUCUUAUCCUGAAGGAGUCACAGUUGUGUUUGGAUGAAUCUUUGACUUUGAAAAGGACACAGCAGUUAUUUUGUGGUUCCAAGUGAAAAUUUUCUCGAUCUUAUCAUUGAAUGAGAAAUAGUAAAAACUUGUAAUGCAGAAAAUGCUGCUAUAAUUAUAUGAGCUACAUUAUAUGAGCUAUAUAAUUUAGAACCAGAACAAUAUAUUAUCACAUAAACCUGUGGAAGAAGAAUUUUCUGACAAACCUCUCAUUUCAUCAAAUAAAGAAAUUAAGGAAAGACAGUUGCAAAAGCAAGAUUGAACAGAAAAAUAUAGUGAUGGAUUACAACGGCAAAUGCUGACAUGGAUCUAGAGACAUCUCUAAUUAGUGUCAGGAAAUUUGAGUAUGUUCUCAUCCAGAGUUUUCUCUAAGCUGCACAUCUCUUAAGUAUAAAUCCCUGGGGAAUAAGACUUGUAACAUAACUGAUGGAAUAACAGUGAGAAGAAAAACAGUGUAUUCUCAAGUACACAGAGUGGAACUUGUCAUUAACAUUUACUGUCUUUUUACAAAGCCAGGUUUGCAUUUUAUAAUCAGGAUUCCAUGAACAAACCUGAGACUUCAGUGAAGAAUGGUUUUAUUUGAUCAGUUGACUGUUGAGUAACACUAAGAUAAACAAUGAACCAAUCAUUUUGUCUUACUCCUCUUUUCACUUUUGUAUGCCUGCCCCUUAUGGUGCCUGUAUACUUUUUGCCCUAUAAAGCAAUACAUUCAAAAAAAGAUUAUUCAAGGACAAUAAAAAAUAGACCUGAAUUGAUGCUUAGUUCCAAUAAUGAAAUUUCAAGAUUUGUAGUGAAGCCAUAGGUUACCAUGAGCUGAAAGAAUUGAGAUGGAGGAAAUGUUUACGUUGGAAAAGAAUACAAUGUGCUCUCCCACCAUGUGGGGUGAAGGGCAUUUUUGUGAAAUGCCCAGCUCAAGCUAUGCUGAACAAGUCAGUUUGACCAUGUGAACUCCCCCACCACCUAAAAACCUAGGGUCCUGCUCUUAUGUGCCUGAGAUUUGGGGUGGCAAAAGGGAAGAGUUGGGGGGGGGGAGCUUUCCCACUCUACUUUUUCCCCUCUUUUUUCUCAUAAUCUGUCUGGAACUCUAUCUUUUUUAAUGCAACUGUAAAACAAGCGAAAUGAAGCUGACAGCAGGUGCUGUGAUCAGUGCUGAUAUAACCCUGUCUCAGCCCUGGACAUCUGAUCAGAAUGUACGCUGUGCCUGAGGUUCUCCAGUUGUGAUUAUCUUAGUCAUACCUUAGGCAGAAACUGCAUUUUCUGUCUUGUUUCUCUUUUCUGACCCCUUCUUUGAACGUUCUUUUAUUCCUUCUGGAAAGAGGAUCAGGUUGAGUAGCAACAGAAAAGCUAGGAACUCCAAAAAAGCUCAAUUGUCUUCUCUUUUUAUUCCAGAAGAACUGUUAUUACUGUUACUAAAAGACAGUCAAAGAAGGGAGUUUCCCUAUAAGAACUCCUUGCUGCUAAGGGGGAAAGAGAUAAUAUUUAACUCUAAAUCUUUUACUCUAUAUUCACUCUACAUUUCAAGUGACUUAGCAGUUUUUCCUUUUUCAGGGUCUGUAAUCAAAGGAUAGAUUUGGAAUGCUGGUUAUUACAAUGGGAGUUUGCCAGCAAUAACUUGAAACCCAGAUAAUGCUUCACUGUUUAUGUUGUAACUGUGAGCAAGUUAUACUGACAUCUUAUCUUUUGUUGGGCACAAGAUAGGUUAUGUUCAACACAGCUCUCAUAUCACUUAGGAAAAGUAAAACUUGUUUGUCUUCUCUAUAGUUUAACAGAAGAGCGCAUUCCCAACUGCUUAUAGCCUUGCUAAGUUUUUAUUGUUUGCAUUCUGGAACCAUUCCCUGCUGUACGUAUACCUCAGAGACUUGCUCGGGAAAGCGUCAGCUAAAGCACUUCAGUCACUUCCAAGAACAAGAUUUCUAAGAAUUUUGAUUAAAAAGCUCAGAGGUGAGGAGUGUGAUAGUGGGGCUGACUGGGCAAGAACCCAUAGGGCACAGGUCCUGUGCAAAGAAUAGUAAGCAAUAACAUAAUUUAUCAUAAUGCAAACUCACUCAUAAAGAGACUGAAAUAAGGAGGCAAAAGAAACUUGAAACACUUGAACUUCAUAAUUUAUAAGAAUUUGACUUGCAACAUUAAUACUGUUCUUUUAGUGUGGUGUUUUGGUGCAUAUCAAUUUCUAAGACACUACUGCUAUAGAAAGAAAUAACGUACUUCUGUUAAUUGUGAACAUGAACCAUACUGGAGGUUGGGAAUCUUGAUGUAGACUUCAGCUUUCUGUAAUGUAGACUUUCAGCAAACCAGUAUGGAAAACAAAUGCCUGGCUAGCAAGCAACUGAAGAGUGUAAGUGUAGUUGCAAGCAACUACAGCAAGUCAAUAUUUCUGACUCACUUUUUCCAGAAUGAGAGGUCGCUCAUGGAUACAACUUUAAAUAAAACAGAAGAUGAGGCUUUAGUUUUUGCAUGUCUAGCAAAAAUAUCAUGAAAACUAUUCGUAAAUGGUGUCCUUACUUAAGUAAACUUUUGUCAGAUCUAGGCAAUUUGGCGUGCCUUUUGUUUAUAAACUUGAACUUUGAAAAGCUUCCUCUGUUUUUGUAAUUACACGGUGAAAUAAAAAGAGGAUUUCUUUUUCCAGAGUUUUGCCUUUCUCAUUUGUCUCCAAAUAUAUUACACUAUAGACAACAAAAAGACACAAUAUUUUUAUGUUUAAAAACAAAUGAGAACUUAGUCCCCAUGAGACUUUGAGCUUCUUCAAUUUCCAGUCAUAGCAGGGGGCUUAGCACCUCAAAGAAUCAAGCAUAAGAAAGUCAUGGCAUUUUCAGAGGGAAAAAAAAAAAAAAAAAAGAAUGACAUAUCUUU